CCCUUCUUUGACCCCCUGGUUUCCUAGGACUAGAUAUUCCUUCCCCUCCUCAUUUCUAGGUUUAUCAAUGGUUUGGUUGAUAGAUAGUUGAGCGUUUGGUCCUUCCGCUACCUCUCCCAUGGAGAUGAUGCCUCCAUGUUAGAAGACCCCCUAGUGGAUGUCAAGGCCCCUAUCCCCAUGGGAAUUGGGAUGAACUCAACCAUUUAUCUUACUUUCCCUUUGUUGUUCAUGUACCUUUGUGGAUAUUGCGUGUGGCGAGUCUAG
rnacentral:lncRNA from 1 species